UACGGAGGGUGCAAGCGUUAUCCGGAUUCACUGGGUUUAAAGGGUGCGUAGGUGGGUUGAUAAGUCAGUGGUGAAAUCCCCGAGCUUAACUUGGGAACUGCCAUUGAUACUAUUGAUCUUGAAUACCGUGGAGGUCAGCGGAAUAUGUCAUGUAGCGGUGAAAUGCUUAGAUAUGACAUAGAACACCAAUUGCGAAGGCAGCUCGCUAAACUGUAACUGACGCUGAGGCACGAAAGCGUGGGGAUCAAACAGG
rnacentral:rRNA from 1 species